UGGGGAAUAUUGCACAAUGGGCGCAAGCCUGAUGCAGCAACGCCGCGUGAACGAUGAAGGUCUUCGGAUCGUAAAGUUUUGUUGCAGGGGAAGAUAAUGACGGUACCCUGUGAGGAAGCUCCGGCUAACUACGUGCUAGCAGCCGCGGUAAUACGUAGGGGGCUAGCGUUAUCCGGAUUUACUGGGCGUAAAGGGUGCGUAGGUGGUCUUUCAAGUCGGUGGUUAAAGGCUACGGCUCAACCGUAGUUAGCCUCCGAAACUGGAGGACUUGAGUGCAGGAGAGGAAAGUGGAAUUCCCAGUGUAGCGGUGAAAUGCGUAGAUAUUGGGAGGAACACCAGUAGCGAAGGCGGCUUUCUGGUCUGCAACUGACACUGAGGAACGAAAGCGUGGGUAGCAAACAGG
rnacentral:rRNA from 1 species